UGAUUUAAUUCUUUCUUUUAAAAGUCUAACUGGGUGGGGGGGGGCAUCCGGUUAGCCCAGUGGAUUGAGAGCCAGGCCUAGAGAGUGUGAUAGAAGCUGGCACUAAAGAAAAAGUGCCAGACUGAAGAGUAUAUGAAAUUGAUCACCUCGAUGGGGGCGGGGCCCCAGGAAUGGAUUUCCUGAGAAGAGUAGACUCUGGCUGGAGAACAGUGAGGGUCAGUCAAAGAGAGAAGGUGAAUAAAGACUUUCUUCUGAGGGUUACCCAUUUUUCCUGCUGGUGACUAGAAAUCUUUCCCCCCAACAUUUCUCAAUUAAAGGGACAUUCUGAAGAGAAACCUGAGCAGACUUUACCUCAGCUCCUAUUGCCCAGGGGUUAACUUUUUCAGACUACAAAUUGCAAAUGAAGUGCUGAUCUAUGAUUGGAGUUCUCUCAAGAGAAAUUCCCUAUAUGGACAAAAUCACAGGAAUCUUUGGCUUCAGUCUUCAGCUUGGAGCUUCGACUGGUGACUUAUCUCUUGGAGGUGGCUUUGGACUUGGACUUCAGCUUCCAUUUGGGACCUUGACUUCUUGGACUGCUCCUGGAUCUUCUGCUUUGUACUUCAUCUUGGGCAAGAAGUUGAAAUCUGAUGACAUGAUUCCUUAUAUAGGAACUUCCAUAUAUUCUCAACUUCAAAAUGAAACUUGGAUAUAUACUGUAGAUUCAAUGAUCUCUCCAUGGAGAAGUGUGAGAAGAGAAGCAGUUAAUUCUGGAUUUUAGUCUUUUGGUCAGGCAAGAAGCAUGGAAUACAUUCUAAAAGUGUAGAGUCAGAGGGUUAAGAAUAUUAUAUUACUUGUUGGUUAUGGGAGGGGUGUAGGAGGAGGGAAGGGAAAGAACAUGAAUCAUGUAACCAUGGAAAAAUAUUCUAAAAUAAAUAAAUAAAUAAACUUUUAAAAAAUUUAAA
rnacentral:lncRNA from 1 species